rnacentral:rRNA from 1 species
UCAGCAGCCGCGGUAAUACGUAGGAUCCGAGCGUUGUCCGGAAUUACUGGGUGUAAAGGGAGCGCAGGCGGGUUUGUAAGUCGACGGUGAAAUCUUCCAGCUCAACUGGAAAACUGCCGCCGAUACUGCAGAUCUUGAAUAUGUCAGAGGGAAACGGAAUUCAUGGUGUAGCGGUGAAAUGCGUAGAUAUCAUGAAGAACACCAGUCGCGAAGGCGGUUUCCUGGGACAUUAUUGACGCUCAUGCUCGAAAGUGUGGGGAGCAAACAGGAUUAGAUACCCUGGUAGUCCACACCUUAAACGAUGAAUACUAGGUGUCGGGGCGAAAGUCUCGGUGCCAAAGCUAACGCAUUAAGUAUUCCACCUGGGGAGUACGAUCGCAAGGUUGAAACUCAAAGGAAUUGACGGGGGCCCGCACA